GACCCUAUAGAGUUUGAUUUAUUUUAUUAAUUAUUUUUUUAGAAUUAAUAUUUUAUUUAAUAAUAUAAAUUUAAUUGGGGUGAUUGAAAAAUUAAAUAAACUUUUUCUUUUUUAGAACAUAAAUUUAUGAAUAUUUGAUCCAUUAAUUAUGAUUAAAAGAUUAAAUUACCUUAGGGAUAACAGCGUAAUUUUUUUUGAGAGUUCAAAUCGAAAAAAAAGAUUGCGACCUCGAUGUUGGAUUAAAAUUAAUUUUUGGUGUAGAAGCUAAAAAAAUUAGGUCUGUUCGACCUUUAAAUUUUUACAUGAUCUGA
rnacentral:rRNA from 1 species